rnacentral:rRNA from 1 species
AGCGAACGCUGGCGGCAGGCCUAACACAUGCAAGUCGAACGAACUCUUCGGAGUUAGUGGCGGACGGGUGAGUAACACGUGGGAACGUGCCUUUUGGUUCGGAAUAACUCAGGGAAACUUGUGCUAAUACCGCAUGUGCCCUUCGGGGGAAAGAUUUAUCGCCAUUAGAGCGGCCCGCGUCUGAUUAGCUAGUUGGUGAGGUAACGGCUCACCAAGGCGACGAUCAGUAGCUGGUCUGAGAGGAUGACCAGCCACACUGGGACUGAGACACGGCCCAGACUCCUACGGGAGGCAGCAGUGGGGAAUCUUGCGCAAUGGGCGAAAGCCUGACGCAGCCAUGCCGCGUGAAUGAUGAAGGUCUUAGGAUUGUAAAAUUCUUUCACCGGGGACGAUAAUGACGGUACCCGGAGAAGAAGCCCCGGCUAACUUCGUG